rnacentral:rRNA from 1 species
GAUGAACGCUGGCGGCGUGCCUAAUACAUGCAAGUCGAGCGAACAGAUGAGGAGCUUGCUCCUCUGACGUUAGCGGCGGACGGGUGAGUAACACGUGGAUAACCUACCUAUAAGACUGGGAUAACUUCGGGAAACCGGAGCUAAUACCGUAUAAUAUAUUGAACCGCAUGGUUCAAUAGUGAAAGACGGUUUUGCUGUCACUUAUAGAUGGAUCCGCGCCGCAUUAGCUAGUUGGUAAGGUAACGGCUUACCAAGGCAACGAUGCGUAGCCGACCUGAGAGGGUGAUCGGCCACACUGGAACUGAGACACGGUCCAGACUCCUACGGGAGGCAGCAGUAGGGAAUCUUCCGCAAUGGGCGAAAGCCUGACGGAGCAACGCCGCGUGAGUGAUGAAGGUCUUCGGAUCGUAAAACUCUGUUAUUAGGGAAGAACAAAUGUGUAAGUAACUAUGCACGUCUUGACGGUACCUAAUCAGAAAGCAACGGCUAACUACGUG